rnacentral:ncRNA from 1 species
AGGAGCGGUGUGAUGGGAAACUAUCAUGCACCGUUUUGGAGAGCAGUGGAGGGGGCGACCUCUUCACUGACUUUAAU